rnacentral:rRNA from 1 species
CAGCCAUGCCGCGUGCAGGAAGACGGUCCUCUGGAUUGUAAACUGCUUUUAUUAGGGAAUAAACCCUCCUACGUGUAGGAGGCUGAAGGUACCUGAUGAAUAAGCAUCGGCUAACUCCGUGCCAGCAGCCGCGGUAAUACGGAGGAUGCAAGCGUUAUCCGGAUUUAUUGGGUUUAAAGGGUCCGUAGGCGGGUAUUUAAGUCAGUGGUGAAAGCCCACAGCUCAACUGUGGAACUGCCAUUGAUACUGGAUGUCUUGAGUAUAGUAGAAGUAGGCGGAAUAGGGCAUGUAGCGGUGAAAUGCAUAGAUAUGCCCUAGAACACCGAUUGCGAAGGCAGCUUACUAUGUUAUAACUGACGCUGAGGGACGAAAGCGUGGGGAGCAAACAGGAUUAGAUACCCUGGUAGUCCACGCCGUAAACGAUGAUUACUCGCUGCUGGCGAUAUACAGUCAGUGGCCAAGCGAAAGCAUUAAGUAAUCCACCUGGGGAGUACGACCGCAA